rnacentral:rRNA from 1 species
AACGAACGCUGGCGGCGCGCCUAAUACAUGCAAGUCGAGCGAGAAGACGUAGCAAUACGUUUGUAAAGCGGCGAACGGGUGAGGAAUACAUGGGUAACCUACCCUCGAGUGGGGAAUAACCAGCCGAAAGGUUAGCUAAUACCGCGUACGCUCCUUGGACUUCGGUUCAGGGAGGAAAGCGAUACCGUGGGUAUCGCGCUCUUGGAUGGGCUCAUGUCCUAUCAGCUUGUUGGUGAGGUAACGGCUCACCAAGGCUUCGACGGGUAGCUGGUCUGAGAGGACGAUCAGCCACACUGGCACUGCGACACGGGCCAGACUCCUACGGGAGGCAGCAGUAAGGAAUAUUGCGCAAUGGGCGAAAGCCUGACGCAGCGACGCCGCGUGGGGGAUGAAGGUCUUCGGAUUAUAAACCCCUUUCGGG